rnacentral:lncRNA from 1 species
AUAAAUGUAUCAGAAAACAAAACAGACAUCAGAGCAGAAGCAGAAAGGCAAAUGUCAGCCCCUGGCUCUGAAAUGACUGGGGUGCUCAGUCCGGGCUAUGAAACCUUACAUUUCUGCCUCAGCGCUGGCAAACACACAGCACUAUUUAUAGCACAGCCUUUUACUACCCUUCUGGUAGAAUAGGCUUCAUCUGGGGAUUUACAUGGCUAACCGAAAGCAAAAGCCUUUUGUCCUUCAUUUCCAUAAGAGAAGGCCAGUGUUAAGCUGGUGUUCAUUGGGCUGAAUUACAGAAAAUAUCAGUUACUAGAAAACCAGUUACUAAUUCAAAGGCAUCUGUUACCAUGGCAUAGGCCUUCUCUUCUCUCUCCAUGCCCCAGAUUUAGCACCAAUGAUGGGAGCUUAGAGAAAGCUCAAAAAGAACGGUUCUUACCUCUGGAAAAAAAAAAGCAUAGUCGAGGAAGACCACAUGUUUUCAUGGCAACUAAGGAGUAAAGGGUUAAGACCUAGGAGAUGGCUCCAAACCAAUAAACAGCACAAAAGGCUCCUAUUAGCAAAUCAAGAGCCCAAUGUGUUCCCAUUUCCCCCCUUGUAUCUUCAAUUAAACCCUUUGGGCCACAAAGUUACUGUUCCUGCCAAGGACAACAAUCAGCACGAGGUGAUUAUUUUAGAUUCUGCUACAAGACCCUGAGGUCUUGGGAAAACGAAAACCACCCUUCCUUUCAUCCUCAGAUCGGAUUUCCAGGGCAGGGCAGGCCCAUCAACUACUCCCCAUCCCUCCAUAAUGCAGUGCCAGGGCGAGCACCCAGGCUCUCCCCUGAGAUGGCACUUUCUCACAGAUGCCUGCCUCUUCCUGCCUUCCAGAUGGCAGCAGGGUUCUUAACAAGCUCCCCAAUUUCUGUUUCCCCCUUGGGAUUUCUUUUCAAUGUUAUCUUGUCAGAUCUGUUUUUUUCCAGUUGGAUGAUGUGCAGGAGCUUCCUCCAGAGGUUACCAACCUGCAGCUCCCGUGGCCUGUCAGACCUCCUUGCUGCAGAAACACUCCAUGCAGCAAGGAUCACUAAUGCUCUGCUGUGCCCCAGCUGCCCAGCAGAGGGCUUUUCUGCAGGGCUUCUCCAGGCUCCUGGCACUGCUGUGGGGCUGUUUAACAUGGCUCAGGAAGGAGAAUGGCUGCAGAACAGGACAGAGAAUUGGAGUCAGGCUGUGAUAUCCUUUCACAGAUGUCCUCCUGUGACCUUCAGUGCAGAACCACAUCCCUUUGCUUUUUCCACCUCUAAAUGGGGAUUGCCAGCCUUCUUCAAAUUUUGCACCAAUGCAAGUGUUUUAUUUAGGAUGCCUUCAUACUCUGCUGUGGACUGCCAGUGGGAUGAGAGCCCCUCCAGGCUGUGUGUGCUGCAGCCACAGCCCCAGAGUGCCAACAGACCAGACAGAAGGAAGGCAUGAGCAUCUGGAGAACCCAAGCCCCCUCAGAGG